rnacentral:tRNA from 1 species
GAGGGCGCCAUAAGACCUGCUAA